GGACUACUGGGGUUUCUAAUCCCGUUCGCUCCCCUAGCUUUCGUAUCUCAGCGUCAGAAGAGACCCAGUAAGCCGCUUUCGCCACUGGUGUUCCUGAUGAUAUCAACGCAUUUCACCGCUCCACCAUCAGUUCCGCUUACCUCUGUCUCCCUCAAGCCCUGCAGUAUCGGGCGCAGUUCCUCGGUUGAGCCGAGGGAUUUCACACCCGACUUGCAGGGCCGCCUACAUACCCUUUAAGCCCAAUAAUUCCGAAUAACGUUUGGACGGUUCGUAUUACCGCGGCUGCUGGCAC
rnacentral:misc_RNA from 1 species